rnacentral:SRP_RNA from 1 species
UGUCAGGGCUCGUGGAGAUUCGGCAAGCAAAUCCCGCCAGGUCUUGAUCGAAGCAACGGUAGCUUGUCCGUGUUUGCCGCGGGUUCCCUGACAGCA